AAUGCACCAAUUUGUAAGUCGCUCUGGAUAAGAGCGUCUGCUAAAUGACUUAGA
rfam:Salmo salar isolate Sally breed double haploid chromosome ssa11, whole genome shotgun sequence.